GUACCUGGGGAAUAAGUAUCGCCGAAUUACGUGCCAGCAGCCGCGGUAAUACGUAGGAGGCGAGCGUUAUCCGGAUUUAUUGGGCGUAAAGAGAGCGUAGGCGGUUUGUCAAGUCGGAUGUGAAAUCUCCCGGCUCAACUGGGAGGGGUCAUUCGAUACUGAUGGGCUAGAGUGCAGCAGGGGAAAACGGAAUUCCCGGUGUAGUGGUGAUAUGCGUAGAUACCGGGAGGAACACCAGAGGCGAAGGCGGUUUUCUGGGCUGUUUCUGACGCUGAGGCUCAAAAGCGUGGGGAGCGAACAGGAUUAGAUACCCUGGUAGUCCACGCCGUAAACGAUGGACACUAGGUAUAGGGAGUAUCGACCCUCUCAGUGCCG
rnacentral:rRNA from 1 species